UGCGGAGGGAUCAUUACCGAGUUUACAACUCCCAAACCCCCUGUGAACAUACCACUUGUUGCCUCGGCGGAUCAGCCCGCUCCCGGUAAAACGGGACGGCCCGCCAGAGGACCCCUAAACUCUGUUUCUAUAUGUAACUUCUGAGUAAAACCAUAAAUAAAUCAAAACUUUCAACAACGGAUCUCUUGGUUCUGGCAUCGAUGAAGAACGCAGCAAAAUGCGAUAAGUAAUGUGAAUUGCAGAAUUCAGUGAAUCAUCGAAUCUUUGAACGCACAUUGCGCCCGCCAGUAUUCUGGCGGGCAUGCCUGUUCGAGCGUCAUUUCAACCCUCAAGCACAGCUUGGUGUUGGGACUCGCGUUAAUUCGCGUUCCCCAAAUUGAUUGGCGGUCACGUCGAGCUUCCAUAGCGUAGUAGUAAAACCCUCGUUACUGGUAAUCGUCGCGGCCACGCCGUUAAACCCCAACUUCUGAAUGUUGACCUCGGAUCAGGUAGGAAUACCCGCUGAACUUAAGCAUAUCA
rnacentral:misc_RNA from 1 species